UACGAAGGGGGCUAGCGUUGUUCGGAAUCACUGGGCGUAAAGGGCGCGUAGGCGGCCAUAUAAGUCGGGGGGUGAAAGCCUGUGGCUCAACCACAGAAUUGCCUUCGAUACUGUAUGGCUCGAGACCGGAAGAGGUAAGUGGAACUGCGAGUGUAGAGGUGAAAUUCGUAGAUAUUCGCAAGAACACCAGUGGCGAAGGCGGCUUACUGGUCCGGUUCUGACGCUGAGGCGCGAAAGCGUGGGGAGCAAACAGG
rnacentral:rRNA from 1 species